GAUGAACGCUGGCGGCGUGCCUAAUACAUGCAAGUCGAGCGAAUGGAUUAAGAGCUUGCUCUUAUGAAGUUAGCGGCGGACGGGUGAGUAACACGUGGGUAACCUGCCCAUAAGACUGGGAUAACUCCGGGAAACCGGGGCUAAUACCGGAUAACAUUUUGAACCGCAUGGUUCGAAAUUGAAAGGCGGCUUCGGCUGUCACUUAUGGAUGGACCCGCGUCGCAUUAGCUAGUUGGUGAGGUAACGGCUCACCAAGGCAACGAUGCGUAGCCGACCUGAGAGGGUGAUCGGCCACACUGGGACUGAGACACGGCCCAGACUCCUACGGGAGGCAGCAGUAGGGAAUCUUCCGCAAUGGACGAAAGUCUGACGGAGCAACGCCGCGUGAGUGAUGAAGGCUUUCGGGUCGUAAAACUCUGUUGUUAGGGAAGAACAAGUGCUAGUUGAAUAAGCUGGAACCUUGACGGUACCUAACCAGAAAGCCACGGCUAACUACGUGCCAGCAGCCGCAGUAA
rnacentral:rRNA from 1 species